rnacentral:rRNA from 1 species
GACGAACGCUGGCGGCGUGCUUAACACAUGCAAGUCGAACGGAAAGGCCCUGCUUUUGUGGGGUGCUCGAAUGGCGAACGGGUGAGUAACACGUGAGUAACCUGCCCUUGACUUUGGGAUAACUUCAGGAAACUGGGGCUAAUACCGGAUAGGAGCUCCUGCUGCAUGGUGGGGGUUGGAAAGUUUAGGCGGUUGGGGAUGGACUCGCGGCUUAUCAGGUUGUUGGUGGGGUAGUGGCUUACCAAGGCUUUGACGGGUAGCCGGCCUGCGAGGGUGACCGGCCACGUUGGGACUGAGAUGCGACACGGCCUCCUACGGGAGGCAGCAGUGGGGAAUAUUGCACAAUGGGCUGAAGCCUAAUGCAGCAACGCCGCGUGCGGGAUGACGGCCUUCGGGUUGUAAACCGCUUUCGCCUGUGACGAAGCGUGAGUGACGGUAAUGGGUAAAGAAGCACCGGCUAACUACGUG